rnacentral:rRNA from 1 species
AGUGAACGCUGGCGGUAGGCCUAACACAUGCAAGUCGAACGGCAGCACAGUAAGAGCUUGCUCUUACGGGUGGCGAGUGGCGGACGGGUGAGGAAUACAUCGGAAUCUACUUUUUCGUGGGGGGUAACGUAGGGAAACUUACGCUAAUACCGCAUACGACCUACGGGUGAAAGCAGGGGAUCUUCGGACCUUGCGCGAUUGAAUGAGCCGAUGUCGGAUUAGCUAGUUGGCGGGGUAAAGGCCCACCAAGGCGCCGAUCCGUAGCUGGUCUGAGAGGAUGAUCAGCCACACUGGAACUGAGACACGGUCCAGACUCCUACGGGAGGCAGCAGUGGGGAAUAUUGGACAAUGGGCGCAAGCCUGAUCCAGCCAUACCGCGUGGGUGAAGAAGGCCUUCGGGUUGUAAAGCCCUUUUGUUGGGAAAGAAAAGCAGCAGGUUAAUACCCCGCUGUUCUGACGGUACCCAAAGAAUAAGCACCGGCUAACUUCGUG